rnacentral:rRNA from 1 species
CAGUAGCCGCGGGAAUACGGAGGGGGCUAGCGUUGUUCGGAAUUACUGGGCGUAAAGCGCACGUAGGCGGCUUUGUAAGUUAGAGGUGAAAGCCUGGGGCUCAACUCCAGAAUUGCCUUUAAGACUGCAUCGCUUGAACGUCGGAGAGGUGAGUGGAAUUCCGAGUGUAGAGGUGAAAUUCGUAGAUAUUCGGAAGAACACCAGUGGCGAAGGCGGCUCACUGGACGACUGUUGACGCUGAGGUGCGAAAGCGUGGGGAGCAAACAGGAUUAGAUACCCCAGUAGUCCCUGUCUCUUAUAA